UUUCCCCCAACAAUAUAUUGUUUCAAAACUCUUUCCUUUUUCUCAAAACCCUAGACUCUCUCUGAAGUUUUGCAGCCGCCGCACAACGCCCUCCCAUCCAGAGCUGGCCCUUGGGGAGGGCAACUGGGGCCUGGGCCCGGGGCCCAUAAUUGAAAGGGGCACCAAAAAAAUAAAGUUAAGCCAUAUAUUAUAUACGUAUAGAACAAAACAAAUAAAAUAAAUAAAUAAAAAAUCAAGCGUGCAUUUUUGUUUAAUCCUCCCUUCCCAAAAGCGCGUGCUCACCCAUAUAUGCUAGCAAAUAUAUUAUUUUUUAAUCCUAUUCCAAAAAAAAACAAAACAAAACAAAACAAACCAGACCACAUUAGGGUUUAGAUUCUUGUUGUCUCAAUUUUCUUAUAUAUGUACCUAUCAUCCCUCACUCACAGUCACACCGCGGCCUCUCUCCUCUCCAUUGCCUAUCUCUUUCGUCUUUCCUAUCAUUUCCCCUCCAUGACAGAAGAGACGAAGCCAACAGAGCUAUUCAAGAUCGCCAAUUGAGAACUUAUUCAUUGAGAAUUGAGAUGGGUUUCAGGUGCAGACCCAGAUAAACAACAAAGAUGAUUUUUCUUGAGUCUUAAUCAGUUUUGCAGGGAGAACGUGAGUUUUGUAAUGGAUUACUUGGUUUAAACAUGAAAAUUUAUCUGAAGAUUUACCAAAUGAAUUGUUCAUAUUCAUUUGGAAGAAUAAGCAGAAAAUGAAAAUGAAUUGAAAGUUUAUGAUGCAAAAAUGGCAGAUUUACUU